UACGUAGGGGGCUAGCGUUGUCCGGAAUCAUUGGGCGUAAAGCGCGUGUAGGCGGUCCGGUAAGUCCGCUGUGAAAGUCGGGGGCUCAACCCUCGAAAGCCGGUGGAAACUGUCGGGCUAGAGUGCGGAAGAGGCGAGUGGAAUUCCUGGUGUAGCGGUGAAAUGCGCAGAUAUCGGGAAGAACACCCGUGGCGAAGGCGGCUCUCUGGAACGCAACUGACGCUGAGACGCGAAAGCGUGGGGAGCAAACAGG
rnacentral:rRNA from 1 species